UAAGGAAUAUUGGACAAUGGACGCAAGUCUGAUCCAGCCAUGCCGCGUGAAGGAUGACUGCCCUCUGGGUUGUAAACUUCUUUUAUAGGGGAAGAAAGUUAUUUUUUUUAGGAUAUUUGACGGUACCCUAUGAAUAAGCACCGGCUAACUCCGUGCCAGCAGCCGCGGUAAUACGGAGGGUGCAAGCGUUAUCCGGAUUCACUGGGUUUAAAGGGUGCGUAGGCGGGUAUGUAAGUCAGUGGUGAAAUACCGGAGCUUAACUUCGGAACUGCCAUUGAUACUAUAUAUCUUGAAUAUUGUGGAGGUAAGCGGAAUAUGUCAUGUAGCGGUGAAAUGCUUAGAGAUGACAUAGAACACCGAUUGCGAAGGCAGCUUGCUACGCAAAUAUUGACGCUGAGGCACGAAAGCGUGGGGAUCAAACAGG
rnacentral:rRNA from 1 species